rnacentral:rRNA from 1 species
UACGUAGGGUCCGAGCGUUGUCCGGAAUUAUUGGGCGUAAAGGGCUCGUAGGCGGUUUGUCGCGUCGGGAGUGAAAACACGGGGCUUAACCCCGUGCCUGCUUCCGAUACGGGCAGACUAGAGGUAUGCAGGGGAGAACGGAAUUCCUGGUGUAGCGGUGAAAUGCGCAGAUAUCAGGAGGAACACCGGUGGCGAAGGCAAUCCCCUGGGCCGGUACUGACGCUGAGGAGCGAAAGCGUGGGGAGCGAACAGG